ensembl:lncRNA
UAUUUUGUUGCUUUUACAUCUUGUAAUUAUUAAUACUUAUUCUAAUAUUAACAGCGGUCGCUUCUAGCUCGGCAUCCACAGAGGAGCCAUCAGAUGCUGAUUUGCUUGCUGCAGCUGCACACAUAAAGGUUGCGGCUUUCAGAUGAUGGUUUUGGAAACAGUAAGCUGAUGGAAGCCAGUCAGUCAGUCAGCCAGAAGCCCUGCCCUCCUCAGAGAGAGCUGUGCCAAAAAAGCAGCCUGCGCCCACUGAAGAACUGCUGCUGCCUGAAGGUUGGAAGCAGACGCUCCCAAAAGAGUCUCUUUACCAGAGACAAGUCUGGGAAGCUGGCGCUGAACAAAAAUCUGCAUCUGUGGUGGUCUCCCCAGGACUCCGUCCUCUGUACUCCCAGCCUCCUUCUAAACCUGACGCCUUCUUUCACAGCAGGCUGUUCCUCUGGGUUCCCUACCGCAUGUGGGCCUACAAGCUGCUCUGCUCCCAGCCCAACUGCCAUCGCCUUGGGAUCCAGCUAACAGCUUCCAGCAUGUAAAAGACUGUCAGGAGGGUCUUGGACCUAAACGGGUGGUACUUCAUGGUGACUGAGUACCUUGAAUGCCAGUCCUGUAAAAAGAAGCUAGCAGCCUGGUCGCAAGAUAUCCUGGACCAGUUAGAUUCCAGCCACUGUGAACAAUUUCCUGCGGUCCUAACCUACAG